ACGAGCUGCUACUGCGUUUUUUAAUUAAAUUAAAAUAUAAAUGUAAUUAUUAUAUUAUAUGUGUAUAGGCAUCCAAAAGAGAUACUCAAUAGUGGCUGCUCCAACGCCACAAUUAGCGAGAGUGCUGGCGGUGCACCGCACUCCCAAAAAAGCCUAUAUUAUUUAUUACAUUUAUAUAUUAUUGUCCUUUUCCAGACAUAUAUGAAUAUUCAUUUUAAACCAGUAGGUAAUAAAAUUAUAUUCCAAUUCACAACACAUGAUGAAAACUUGAAAAUAGUAGAAAUUUUUCGAUACCAACAAGUUACGUUCAACAUCUAAUAUGUUUUUUAUAUAGGUAAUAUUUAUUAGGUACCUACCAUUGUGAAGAUGAAACUUUAUACAAUCAAUUUUUUAAUUUCACUUUUUUGUUAAAUAAUAUUUUUCGACUUUGUGUUAUUAUUAAAGGUGUUAUCUGAUAAACGAUUAAGAAAAAAAAUUAAAAGAUAGUGCUAUUUUAAGACAAUAGGGCAGUGUGUGUGUGGGGCAUUGUGACUGCGUGUAUAUUUUUUUUUAACAUUUCCAGUGACUUUAGCUUCUGUAGAGCGCUCUUUUUCGAAAUUAAAACUCAUAAAAAAGUACUCGAGAAAUUCUAUUAACCAAGAACGAUUAUUAAACAUAGCUAGCUGUACUGAACAUUGAAAAUAAAAUACAAGAAUUAAAUAGGUAUUGAAAAAAUAACUAUCAAUUUUGCUCAUAAUAAAGCUAGAAACAAAUUUCCCAAAACAAUAAAAAAAAUAUUCGUAUCUUAUUAUACAAUUAAAAUUGUAUUCAUUUCAGUGUUAUAGUAUAGUCUUUCCAUGAACAGCUGUUAUAAUAAAUUGUAUUAAUAUUAUGUAGUGUUUAUUUAUGCUUACAAAUUAAAAAAUAACAACUGAGAUGAAAACAGAUAAUAUGAUUCACAUUUCAAAUAGAGGCCUUAAUAAGUUGAUAUAUUUUUGUCUACAUUACAUUAUAUAAUGUACAGAAUAAGUACUCUUACAUUUUGGACAUUUGUGUAUAAUUUAUUAUAUAACAUUUAUAAAGUACUAAACUAUCGUUUUAACCAAAAUCAACUUAAUAAAAUAGGUAACUUAAAUAUAAUUUGUCUAAUAUAAAGAAUAGUGGUCGUUAUUGAAAUGGUAAGUGCAGUAGGUAUACAAUAUGUAUUUUAAACAUAUUUCCAUUAUUAUUUGUAUUAUUAUAAAGAUUAUGGUUUAAUUAUUUUAAUUUUAAAAUAAUAUUAAUUAAAUAUUUAAUAAAUUUCAGUUCUAUAUUAAUUAACGUUAGUCUAUAGUCUAUAUAUAGUCAUUUUAUAUAGUAGUAUAGAUAUGGAUAUAGAUUCAAUACGAAUAUUGGAUAUUGUUGGUGCACGUGCAAUAAACUUUUAGGAAUUACGCCGAUAUCAAACACAAUACAAUUUGAAGAACAAAAAGGCCAGUUUGCAGGAACUUGGUUAUCAAAAUAUCGUCGCAGAACAAUAAAUGAAAAUUACUUUGCUGGUUUUUUAGAUUUUGUAGUAUCUAAAAAUCUUAUUAAAACUACUCAUGGAUUAUACGAGCUAAUUGGGCCAAUCGCUAACGCAUCUACAGAUAAUUUGUAUCGUGCGUGUUUAGAAAUUAAUGGUUUUCCAAGGUCUUGGAAACAGUGGCGGUUUUGGUUGUAUUUUUUUAGUGAGGCAACGUUCCCCUCCCUUCAUAACAAAAAUUAAACUUAUAUUUAAAUCGGUUUCAUUAGGCUCUGUGACAAUGGAAACAGUUUAUGAUUAUUUAUAUCUAUGUGUUGUUGUUUAUCGUGCUGCAAUUACAGCUUCGGGCUGACCAUAAUAUUACCUACUCAUCUAUUUUUAGUACUUAGAGGCGAUGAAAAACGAGCCUCACGAUUAUCAUUGCACUUACGCAAUUUUGCUUAUUUAACAGUCGCGCGUAUUCACGUACUUACGUGUGUGUGUGUGUGUGUGUGUGUGUGUGUGUGUGUAAUUCUUGUACACAAGUAACAAUAAUUCAGAGACGACGUUAAACGGUGCUCUCCGACGUCAUCGGAAUAUUGCCGCCGGCUAAAAUAUGAGGGUUUGAUUACGUAAUAAUUAUUUCAUACAUUUCUUAUCGGUUUAUCACUAUUUUUGGUAAUAAACACGGAAUAAUAUUAUACAAUAGUAAAAUAAAUGAUAAUUCAUAUUAUUAAACUUCGUAAACAAGAUUAUUUUUUUCAAACAAAACUAUAAAUACGUCAAAAAUUGUUAGCGAAAUGUGUGCUAUCGGUGAGCUAUGCAUUAUACUCUUAGAGUAUUAUUUACUACAAAAUUUUAGCUGAGGCACUACCUCACUUGCCUCACCCUCAAAACCGCCACUGCUUGGAAAUAUAUUUCAACACAAUUCCCUAGUAAAAUUAAUAAUUUCAAUAAAAAAUUGGCAAUAAGAUGAAAAUAUGCAACCAACUGUUUAGUGCAAGAAACGAUGACGAAGAGUUAUAAGUUUGUCGAAAAAUUACUGCUAGUAAUAAAUUCAAAGAUUCGUGCCAAUCGUGCAAUUAAAAAAAAAAAGAAGUUCCAUUAUUGCGUAGGAUGUUUGAAAAAAAGUUGGUUAACUCAAUGGCAGUUGUCGAUUUCGAUAUCACAAAGGUACAGAAAAAAAUACCUGCACUUGAGAAAAGACUCAAUGAUUGUUGAAAAAAGAAAAAGCAAAAGUAAAUGUAAAUAUCACCUGCAUACACAUUUUAAUUUGAUGUUUCUAACAAUAUAAAUAAAUUUCUAAAUUUAAUGU